AUUCUAUAGUUCUAUAUGCUAUAGUUUGUCACCUGGCCACAUCUAAAUGGGGGAAAGGCUAGGAAAUGUAAUUAACAAUUCUUAUUAUUUUAGCCAGAAAGAAGGAGAGAAGUAGUCCCUCCCACAGGAUGCGUGGUGGAGAGCGUCAGAGGAAGACCCUGGCAUGGAUAGGAGGCAGAUGGGGAAGGCCCGGGGUGACACUCAAGUAGUUUGGACUUUAUGCUACUGGAAGAAAGGAACCAUCAGCUAGUUUAAGCAGGAGAAAGAGGGAAACUGAGCUAUGUUUUAUGGAGAUCUCCCUAACAGCUGUGUGGAUAGGUUCUGGUGGGGUGAUUCUGUGACCCAGAGACCAGUUAGAAAGUAGUUGCCUAUUGCCCCAGGCCAGGUGACAGGUGAUGAGGACUUGGACCAGGGCAAUGACAAUGGGAUGGAGAAAAGAGAAUGGAAGAGCACGACAUGGUAGUGUAGAAGAGGACAGACUUUGGUGACCAUUAGGAAAUGGAGGUGAAGGAAGAGGAUGGCAUUUAGGAGGACACCAAGGUUUUCGGCUUGAGCAGUUUGCUCAAGAAAUUUGAGGCUGCAAACAUCCUUUUCCCAGACAUCCAGGACCUAGGUCAAAUCUCUCGAUUUCAAGACAAGUCUUGUUUGUAGUUAGGCUGGGGCUGUCGGCCUAGGCUCUGGACAAAACGAUGCAGGUGGAAAGCUCGUCUCUUUCAGGUUUGGUCCUUAAUAGCCAGCAUCAUCUGCCAGUCUGCUCUUUCCCCAAUUUGACAACGUUGGGGGCCAUGAGUUCCAGAUGGCAUAAACUUGGAGGACGGCUGCCCAAUACACAAUUGGACAUCUCAGGAGCCAGGAUUAAACUUCUGUAUUGAG
rnacentral:lncRNA from 1 species